GUCGAGGAUCUUCGGCAAUGGGCGCAAGCCUGACCGAGCGACGCCGCGUGUGUGAUGAAGGCCUUCGGGUUGUAAAGCACUGUCGGGGGGAAGAAAGGGGCAACCUUGAUCGACCCCCGGAGGAAGCACGGGCUAAGUUCGUGCCAGCAGCCGCGGUAAGACGAACCGUGCGAACGUUGUUCGGAAUCACUGGGCUUAAAGGGCGCGUAGGCGGGGGCACAAGUCCGGGGUGAAAUCCCACGGCUCAACCGUGGAAGUGCCUUGGAUACUGUGUUUCUUGAGGAAGGUAGGGGCGUGCGGAACUUCCGGUGGAGCGGUGAAAUGCGUAGAUAUCGGAAGGAACACCGGUGGCGAAAGCGGCGCGCUGGACCUUUACUGACGCUGAGGCGCGAAAGCCAGGGGAGCAAACGGGAUUAGAAACCCUUGUAGUCC
rnacentral:rRNA from 1 species